UACGUAGGGUGCGAGCGUUGUCCGGAAUUAUUGGGCGUAAAGGGCUCGUAGGCGGUCUGUCGCGUCGGGAGUGAAAACUCAGGGCUUAACCCUGAGCCUGCUUCCGAUACGGGCAGACUAGAGGUAUGCAGGGGAGAACGGAAUUCCUGGUGUAGCGGUGAAAUGCGCAGAUAUCGGGAGGAACACCGGUGGCGAAGGCGGGUCUCUGGGCCGAUACUGACGCUGAGGAGCGAAAGCGUGGGGAGCGAACAGG
rnacentral:rRNA from 1 species